rnacentral:misc_RNA from 1 species
UGUGGGAGCUGGCUUGCCUGCGAUAGCGGUAUGUCAGCCACCUAUUCAUUACUGACCCACCGCUAUCGCAGGCAAGCCAGCUCCCACA